rnacentral:tRNA from 1 species
UCCCUGAUGGUCCGGUGGUAAAGACUCCCCGCUCCCAAUGCGGGGGGCAUGGGUUCGAUUCCUGGUUGGGGAA